CUUCUUUUGUAGAGUACAAAACAGGGAACGCGUUCUAUGUUCCUGAAGACUGAAGGAGGUUGGCCUAAUGACGUCAUUACUCUCCAUAGACGCUGAUUGGCUAGUGAGUGCGCUGCCAAGCGUAGGGCGAAUUGUGGGAAAAAGUAUCGUAGAUAUCAUUUCAAAUUACACGCUCCCGAAACAACACAAGAGGAUCCACCACACACGUAUCAUACGAUGGCGGCCUCAUCGAGAGACCAAUAGAGAUCACGGCUGUAGCUCUACAGGUCUUCCCAGAUGAGAGCAAUGAAGUUAUGGAAGAGAUUGUGCAACCAACGGCAAUGUGUGUUGAUGUGUAUGACGGCUUAUGCCUUUGAAUAAGGGAAGAUCAUCCGCAACAAGAAGGUUUCAUGGAAAUUCUGGAGCAAAAAAGUGACUGACUUUUUCAACCACCUAGGAGUUACUAAAAGUUCUUUUGAUAUGAUUAUCAAGGAAAUCGAAGGGGUAUAUGGGUCCAGACCUUCACGUACCAGCCUCAAUUUAGGACCAAAGAAGGCCUUGUAUAUGACACUUUGGUACUUAGGAACUCCUGUUUCACACAUAGAGCCAUCAGAAUUAUAUGCAGUAUCAAAAAGAGUUACAUUUGAUUGUGUGCAAAAAAUAAUAGAAGUGCUGUGCAGAGAGUAUAUUAGAUGGCCAACACACAAGGAAGCAGUGGAAAGGGAAAGAGACUUAGCAUUUAGCUGGCCUGCCAGGGGUAAUUGGUGCUGUGGAUGGUUGCUGUGUGUAUUAAUUAAAGCCCCAGAAGCUGUACAAUCUGACCUGGACAGUACAAAUAUAAUGGCAGUGUGUGUGUGUGUGUGUUUUGAAAUGUUUUAUAUAUAUAGUAUAUGUUUUUUACUCAAAUGUUUUAAGUCCAUAUGUGACCUAUAACUUUUUUUGUUUAUUUAGCAACUUUGUCACAAUAAAAGUAUUUCCAAUUACUUUAAA
rnacentral:lncRNA from 1 species